rnacentral:tRNA from 1 species
AUUCAAAUAGUUUAAAAAUAAAAUGCGGGCUUGUGGUGCUCGAGAUGUAAAAAAAUUACUUUGAAUA